rnacentral:rRNA from 1 species
CCCUUAGAUGUCCUGGGCCGCACGCGCGUUACACUGAUGCAUUCAACGAGCUUAUAACCUUGGCCGAGAGACCUGGGCAAUCUUGUUAACGUGCAUCGUGAUAGGGAUAGAUUAUUGAAAUUAUUAAUCUUGAACGAGGAAUUCCUAGUAAACGCAGAUCAUCAAUCUGCAUUGAUUACGUCCCUGCCCUUUGUACACACCGCCCGUCGCACCUACCGAUUGGAUGGUCCGGUGAAGCCUCGGGAUUGUGGUUCUUGCCGCUUUGUUGUGGCGUGACCGCGAGAACUUGUCUAAACCUUAUCAUCUAGAGGAAGGUGAAGUCGUAACA